UAUUGCACAAUGGGCGGAAGCCUGAUGCAGCAACGCCGCGUGCGGGAUGACGGCCUUCGGGUUGUAAACCGCUUUCGCCUGGCAGGAAGCGUAAGUGACGGUAAUGGGUAAAGAAGCACCGGCUAACUACGUGCCAGCAGCCGCGGUGAUACGUAGGGUGCGAGCGUUGUCCGGAUUUAUUGGGCGUAAAGGGCUCGUAGGUGGUCGAUCGCGUCGGAAGGAAAUCUUGGGGCUUAACCUUGAAAGUGCUUUUGAUACGGGUUACUUGAGGAAGGUAGGGGAGAAUGGAAUUCCCGGUGGAGCGGUGGAAUCCGCAGAUAUCGGGAGGAACACCAGGGCGAAAGGCGGGUUAUCUGACCUCACCUGACGCUGAGAGCGAA
rnacentral:rRNA from 1 species